rnacentral:rRNA from 1 species
GACGAACGCUGGCGGCGUGCCUAAUACAUGCAAGUCGAACGAGUGGCGGACGGGUUAGUAACACGUGGGAACCUACCCAUCAGAGGGGGAUAACACUUGGAAACCGGUGCUACUACCGCAUACUGAUGGAUGACCCCGCGGUGCAUUAGCUAGUUGGUGAGGUAAAGGCUCACCUAGGCGACGAUCUCUAGCGGGUCUGAGAGGAUGAGCAGCCACACUGGGACUGAGACACGGCCCAGACUCCUACGGGAGGCAGCAGUGGGGAAUAUUGCACAAUGGGCGCAAGCCUGAUGCAGCCAUGCCGCGUGUAUGAAGAAGGCCUUAGGGUUGUAAAGUACUUUCAGCGGGGAGGCGUUACCCGCAGAAGAAGCACCGGCUAACUCCGUGCCAGCAGCCGCGGUAAUUC